GUAGGUGGCAAGCGUUGUCCGGAAUUAUUGGGCGUAAAGCGCGCGCAGGCGGUUCUUUAAGUCUGAUGUGAAAGCCCACGGCUCAACCGUGGAGGGUCAUUGGAAACUGGAGAACUUGAGUACAGAAGAGGAAAGCGGAAUUCCACGUGUAGCGGUGAAAUGCGUAGAGAUGUGGAGGAACACCAGUGGCGAAGGCGGCUUUCUGGUCUGUAACUGACGCUGAGGCGCGAAAGCGUGGGGAGCAAACAGGAUUAGAUACCCUGGUAGUCCACGCCGUAAACGAUGAGUGCUAAGUGUUAGGGGGGUUUCCGCCCCCCUUAGUGCUGCAGCUAACGCAUUAAGCACUCCGCCUGGGAGUACGGCCGCAAGGCUGA
rnacentral:rRNA from 1 species